rnacentral:rRNA from 1 species
UACGUAGGGGGCAAGCGUUGUCCGGAAUCAUUGGGCGUAAAGCGCGUGUAGGCGGCCCGGUAAGUCCGCUGUGAAAGUCCAGGGCUCAACCCUGGGAUGCCGGUGGAUACUGUCGGGCUCGAGUCCGGAAGAGGAGUGUGGAAUUCCUGGUGUAGCGGUGAAAUGCGCAGAUAUCAGGAAGAACACCGAUGGCGAAGGCAGUUCUCUGGGACGGUACUGACGCUGAGACGCGAAAGCGUGGGGAGCGAACAGG